rnacentral:rRNA from 1 species
GACGUAGGGCGCGAGCGUUGUCCGGAUUUAUUGGGCGUAAAGAGCUCGUAGGCGGCUUGUCGCGUCGUUCGUGAAAACUUGGGGCUCAACCCCAAGCUUGCGGUCGAUACGGGCAGGCUAGAGUUCGGAAGAGGCGAGUGGAAUUCCCGGUGUAGCGGUGAAAUGCGCAGAUAUCAGGAGGAACACCGGUGGCGAAGGCGGCUUCCUGGACAUUGACUGACGCUGAGACGCGAAAGCGUGGGGAGCAAACAGG